UGCAAAUGAUGUCUUCUCACGAUGGUCUUCCAAGCACUCUCUGCUUUGACGACAAUGCCUUAUGGCUACACUGAUGCAGUCCU